AGCAGUGUUUAGAACCCCUUGAAAUUCUACUAUGGCAAAAAAUCAAAAUAGGAAAUUAAUACCAAAGAUAUAAUUGUGCAUGUGCAUCUUUGCUGUAUUGUACAUUUCGCGGGUAUAUCUAUUAUUGACAUCAAACAAAAAUGUGCUGCCAAAUAGCCCCUAGAAAAAGCUCAAAGCUACGCCAACGACCACUGUUGAAUCGAUAAUUCUCUAGAACGAAACGCCGCGCUGCGCCGCCGGUUCGUUCGAUUUCACUCCUUUUGUGGUCAGGGGCCAACCAGUCUGCGGCGCAUCAAAUGCGGCUACCGUCGUCGUCGUCGUCGCCGCAGUCUUCAUCAUCAUCACCUUCAUCGUCGUCACGUGGUUGGAUCGGUGUCAAUCGAUUUCAAUCCGUGGUACGACCGCGCCGCUUCAGGGUACCUACCGCUCCACCGUGCAAGAUUAGGUUCUUUACGGGGCCUUUGUGCGGAAUUGAUUUGUUGCUUUCUCCCAAUUAGUGAGCAGCGCGUCUUCUUUAUUGAGCUCUGCUUUCAAUGGAGGGGUUGGAAUGGAAUUUAGUUCUCACAGAGUUCGGGACGGAACUGGAUCGCGUUGAAGGGUUUGUCGAAUGUAAUUAAAAUUUGUCGGUACGAUGCAGAUCGUUUACAAGUCACUUCUUUUUUGGAGCGUGGGUAGGUCGGAAUUGAAACAAGAGCUGCUAAUCCCAUUGAAUAUAUUAGGGUGGAAGUGCCCGCCAUAAAUCAACACUGAUAAAUACGGUAUCCAGUUGUGGGAGGGCCACCCGUGAGUAGCCAAGUUUAUGGCUUUGUUUGCUUUUUUUGGAGAAGAGGAAAGCUACACCAUGGUUUUGUAUACGUAUCUAUGACUCUUUGCUCUAGUGUCGGAAUAAUGGAGUGAUUCAUUUAUCGCUAUGAAAUUAUAUGUAAUAAUUUAGAUAAUAAGUAAAAAGAAGUUAUCCAAUAACAUUAAAGAGAAUGUGGAUCAUGAGGCCCGAAAGGUAUGUAUGGAUCGGAAUGAUAUGAAGACAUUUUAUGCGUCUGUCAACAGGCUGCACCGGUGCAAGCUAUAAGCAAAGACCGGGAGGGUUAUUUUAGCAGCUAUGUGGGAAAAGCUAUAGUUAGCCUAGUGGUUAAGGCUAUGUAUCGCCAAUCUGGAGACGGCGGGUUCGAUUCCCGUUCUAGUCGGGAAAAUUUUCUCGACUCCCUGGGCAUAGUGUAUCAUAGUACUUGUCUCACAAUAUACAAAUUCAUGUAAUGGCAGGCAAAGAAAGCCCUUUCAAAUAAUAACUGCUGAAGUGCUCAAAUAAUACUAAGUUGAUGCGAGGCAGGCCAAGUCCCAGUGGGGACGUAGAGCCAUAAAGAAGAAAAAGAAGAAGAAGUGGCAAGAGCAACGUGUGAAUUCGAUAAACAAUCCUAAUGAAGAAAAAAUGGUUAUCAGAACUACAGUUCGUUCAUCGUUUCUACUAUAAGUCAGUAUGAUUCAUACAUAGUAAUGAAUAACAGGUCAAAACACCUGUUUCACACCAUCACUUUUACUAUUCACGUGAUCUCAGCUAAUGAUAUUCUGCUAAAAUAGUGUUUAUCAAUUUUCAAAUAAAAAACAACUCAUUCAAGCUGAAGCAAGACUUUCACUUAGCCCAACUAAUUCUAUACCAUGGUAAGCAGUGAAUGUGCAAAAAAAAAAACAAAAACAAACCAAAUAUAAAAUCAAACCCCACUUGAGCGAAACUUCUUAAUUACAGCUUUGAAGUUGACGAGCGAAAACAAAAACAAGAUAAAGAAAAUUUCAAACACCAAAACAGAUAGCGCGAAAUGGUCGAGAGAAUAAAAAUUAUAGCGAUCAACGAAUGGCAGUAGCAUCACAACGGAAGCUUUACUCUGGCAAGUCAGUGGCAUCAACAUAAUUACCCACUUUAAGUUAUCUGUUAACAGCGCUGAAAACCAACACAACAACCAAACGUCUUGUGGUGCAGUGGCAAAGGAGACACCCGCGCGCUUGCUGUCCCGUAAAAUAGUGCUGUUUGGGCAGAGCCGACUACUGAGCAAAGGCUUCUGAGUAUUGCAGUAAACUGGCUCGAUUGAUGAUGGCGAUGAAAGUGAAAUGUGAAUUGAUUAAACGGUGGAAGUAUUUAAUCGCUGGGCCUCACAUGAAAUACACCCACCGUAAGCUGAUCAUUUUAGUGUGACUAGAAUCUUUUUGCACCUUCCUCUCUCAGAGCAGUACUCACGUUUUUUUACUCGUUUAUUUAGAAGGCUCGAGUGCCACAUGGACAUAACAGAGCUGGAAUUAUUUCUACAUUUCUUUACACUGGUUUUACUUUUUUUAAUUUCUACAGCCAUAAUACUAUGUUAGUCUGAGGAGCCGACGUACUCGCGGCCGUUUCGAGGUAAGGGAUAACAAAAUUUUUAAUUAUGAAUUUUAAAUAACUCAACGUACAUAUGUGCAGAUGGGUAAAUUAUUGGUUAAAUUGGGAAAAAAAUCCACAGCUCAGGUUAGAUUUGAACUCACGACCCUUAUUCGCUAGACAACUGCUUUACCAACUAAGCUACCAAGCCAAUUAAUUAAUGACACGGCAUUUUAGUUGUCAUAAGGUAAUUCAAAUCUCAUCGGUGUAUAUCAUCUUCCCCUAAACCGCAAAUAUCGGCACCAACAUUUCAAAAGGGCGUAACUGCAUUUUGAAACAAACCACUAUUUCACAUCUGUGGGUCAUAUUUUAAGUUUCCCACGAAAUUCACAAACAUUACUAGACAGAGAAAUUGCUCUUCUUUCCUAUACUGGCGGUGAUUUGCAUGGCGGCAUAGAAAUACGAUCUACAGAUGUGAAAGAGGGAUUUGUUUCAAAAUGCAGUUACACCCUUUUGAAAUGUUGGUACCGAUAUAACCAUUAGCCUGGUACACGGUUUAUAUGGGAAAAUACAAAAAAUGGAAAAACCCAAGUUCCUGUAUACUUUUUGAGUUCCACUUUGGUUCCAUAUCAACUGUGCAAAAUUUCAGAUCGAUCGGAAAAACUAUAUUUUAGCGCCCACCAUUCUUAGUUUUUCAUACGAUUUACUAUGGGGAAAUUUUACUCCUGCAAAGAAAAAUCGCUAGGAGUCACCCAUAGAUCCCUAAAAAUAAGUCGACGAAUGAUUUCUGUAGAAUGCUUUACUAAGAAUCAGACCUCCGAAGACAGCAAAUCGAUGCGACGUUCGUGGAAAAAGUUAUUAGGCCUCACCCGAUCGAUAAAAUAACGAGAUUUUAUUAUUCCUUACAUGUUAAACAGCGUUUGCAUGCCAUUCGGUUUUCAGUCAAUAACCUUUUCCACAUGCCUUAGAUCGCUUUGCGGUCUUCGAAGGGUUGGUUCCUCGUAAAAUUUACAACAGAAAUCGAUCAUCGAUUUACUUUUAGAGGUUAAGGGGCAACCUGUGGCGAUUUUUCUUUGAAAAGGUGAUUUUCCCCAUACUAAAUCGUAUGAAAACUUAAAAUGGCUGGCGCUAAAAUAUAGUUUCUCCGAUCGAUCUGAAAUUUUGUACAGUUGAUAUGGUGUAACGGGACCCCCCCGGAUCACUUUCCAAAAUUGCAACCGAACGCGUUUACUUAAAGAUAUGUCAUCAUCUAUAAAAAUUCUCCAACACUUCUUAAAACUACACUACUUUAUUUUCCGAAUAUAAAUAUUUUAAUUUCCACAGUGCACUGAAUUAGAAAUGAACAUCUACAAAUGAAACACACUAACUGACUAUCUAAACCACUAAACUGAAUCACUAACUGCCUGAACUGAACUACUUUUUCACAAGUUUAAAUGGGAAAAGCCUAAGCAAACUGGUCUCAACUAAUUUUUCCAAGUUAACAUGGAUAACAAGAGUAGUCGAUAAGCCAAAAAUGGCGUCGAGCUCAAGCUCCAAGAUUAACAAUGGAAAAAUUCUAAACACAAACUGACUGACUCCCCGAUCAUUGGAUCUGCUGGCCCUUAUAUAAGGGUCCUCUCCCUAACCAUCAACUCUUAUUCUCCUGAUCAUAAUUAUGAUCCGAUCAAAAAUUCUCCAGGACUAUCUCCGAGACCAAAGAGAAAUUAAUUUCCCGAUGCCCCAUGCAUAAUUGAUUAUUAAUUACGCUCUUUUCUAAUCUUUGCAUCUCCCACAUCCGUGAGAGCAAUUCUAAACUCUUCCCUACACGGAUGAUCAAUUUUCCCUAUGCCUCCCAUUUCGCCAUCUCACAUCCGCGAGAUUAAUUGAGCCUCCAGAACGAAUGGCCAAUUUAUUCUCACCUCUGAGAUCCGGGCCUCCCAAAAACUCUCCCCAAAACAAAACAGAAAGGCUAAAUCUCCGAUGCAUCAUAACAUCCCCCAUCCACAUUCUCACAUCUGUGAGAUCAUAUCAAAAUUCUGAGGGGAGCGAAAGUACUCGCGAAUUCAAUCUCAAAAUGUCUUGCCUUAGUGGCUGAGUCAUCAAGGGCCACACCAAUCAUCAUCAUUCCCGAACUUGAUUUUUCAUGAACGCACCGGGCGAUCAUAAAUUUAUAGUGUUUACUUUUCUUCGUCGCCCGUCUCAGUUUUACGAUCACUCAUGCGUUAGAAUUUUCACGCCUUCUAAGCAUGGAUGUGUGAACGGUCGUCCGAUCGAUUCAAAACAUAAUUUUACGAUCCAAUUAUGAUCGUCGUCUGUGAUAACCUUUCUUUUCGGGGAAGGUUAUGCAUUUCCAAGUUUUUUCUUGUUGCAAAAACAAUCAGAUCAUUCUUCUCAACUCAUUUUACGAUCGGAUUUCUAGGCAAUUGUUUAUUUCAUCAAGACGACCCUGUAUGUACUUGAAUUUCGUCACCCAGAAUACAGCCACAGAAGGCUUCAACAUAUGUUGAAAACCAUGCCCGAUGUUUAUGUCAUAAAAUAUAAGCCGAGAUCCCAAAAUGUUGGUUUCCCUUUCUCUUAUUUUGGCAUGAGUGAAAAAUGCAAAAUUGUUGCAAAUGAUUGGGGAAAAGGGUGACGUAUGCCCCAUUCCCGAAAAAUGACAAAAAUUAUCAUUUUGGCAAUAAAUUGCUGAAUCUCAAUUCAGCGGUUUGUUGCAUUCCCUUACUUUUCCCGCAAAAAAAUUAAGAAAUUUCUUAAAAUUUCUUAAUUUUUUAAAAUGUUGGUCAUGUUUCUGGCCCUAUGAGGUUUUUUUGUUUUUCGAAUAAGAGUUGAUUUACAUACUGCUUUGCUUCUGCUUAUAAAUAUUAUAUUUAUAGUGCUCUUGUUUUGUUUCUAUUGAAUCUGAUUCGAUAAUAUCCUUGGCUGACCAUUUUCUAGCUAAUGUUAAUCCUUACAAGUUUUAAAACUAGAUUAUUAUUCUUCUUCUUUCCUAAUAUAUUUUUUUUUUAUUUAACUAGACUCAUACCUGUGAUUCAAAUGGCAACUGUUGACUCCGUAUUCCGCUACCGUUUUCGCCGUGAUAUUGUGAUAUAAAAAUAUUUUGAUUUUGAUGAAUCCCGAUGUUUCGAAGUUGUUGAUCAUGGCUGAGUCUUUAAGUGAGUCAUUAGGGCAAAAACCAAGCAUCUUCUUCUCGUUGCUUCGUUGUGUUUAUCGGUGAUUAACUGUUGUGCGAUUCCCAUACUGCUUCUUUGAUUUCUCCUAAUGGUUGAUUUCCUUUGUAACGGUAAUUUUUUCCUUGUUUGUGACUUCAAUUCUACGUGAUUCUUGAAACUUUUGCUUAUUUCUGGUUCCGUGAGAAAAAUCUUGUGUCCACUUGUCUAUUCGAUUGAAAACAGGAUAUUCACGCAUAAUGUCCUUUUGAUUCCAAUUAAUAGUCUUAAAAUCAUUGUGAAGAAAAACGUAUUUUGUUGGUUGUGUUUUUUUUUUUCGGUAUAUCGAUUGGUUCUUGCUGCCUUAGGAUGCUGUUGAAAUUUGCGUAUAUGACGACAGCUAGAAAAUGUGGCUUUUUCCUGCUGAAAUAUUUGUUGUAUUUGUCGUUAAUGCAUUUAAUGUCAUCCUUCCUCUAAUUGGUUGUGUUGCUGUUACUUGCUCAGCUAAGAACAUUUUGACUAUUUCUUUGGUGGAAAUUGUUUGUUGCUAGUGGCAAAUGCAACUUGAGAGUUAUGCUGCUGUUAAAUCAUCCACUAAUAAAUGCCGGCUACAAGAAUUUUGAUGUUUUCUCGUCCGAGAAUUUGUAUUAUAGGAAAUGGUUUAUGUGUUUGUGAAAUAUAAACCAGGUUAGUUAAUUCGAUGUAUGAGUGAUCAUUUUCCUUCCCAAUAGGUUGAAAUCCGCGUAUAAACACUUUCUGCAACAAUUUUCUUUGACUGUAGAAUAUAUGCGCCGUUAACCCUGAUGUUUGAUGUUUGAUGCUCAGUUUACCCUUCUGACCAACCUAAUAGACUCGCCAAUCAUGAACUCGUUGUAGAUGCUGGAACUUUUCUUUCAAUUACCGUACAUCCCUGUUAAUACGGUUCCGAUGUUGCUCGUUGAGCUCUGAUUGAUGAUUUCUGGAACUUUUUCUUUCAUUUUCCAUACAUCCAUGUUUGUAUGGUUGAAGUUUAAGCUUGUUGCCUUUGAAUUAUUGUCUUAUUAUUCACCUUUCCUAAUGACCUAUGUUUUCUCUUGAUUCUUAUUCAUCUAGAAGCUUCAAACGACUAUUUUGCUUAUUAAUUAUGAGCACUUUACAAUUGAUAUAUUUUUAUUGAACACACGUUAUUAUGAAAAAUUUUCCAACAAAUUCCCUUAAUUGACAAAAGCCAUGCUAAUUGAAAUUUUCAUCUCCCACCAUAAAUGGAAAAAAAUAAUAACUUUCCAACAUUUACAAUUCUUUGAAAUAAAAUCAAUUUCCCUUCCUGUAUAAAUGUUAAAAAAAAUCUUGUUUAACACACCCGCAGUUUAUCAAAAAGUUUUUUAACUUAAACAUUUGAAAAUUAAUUUCGCAAAAAUAAUCCCCACGUUUCUGUAUUGUGUUAUGUGACAAUAUUUCAUAAUUUUGUACUUUUCGGUAAAAGAGAACGUAGCUCUUACAUUUGCUCCCAUAUUUGUUCAUUAACAUCAACUACACGAUCGCUUCUUCUUCAUCCUGUGUCCGUCGCAUUUGACCUAUCAUCUCUUCGUCUUCUCUCUUAUGUGUCUGUUGCUUGUACUGCUGAAUUUCAAUUAAUGCUUUUUUAUGCGUCUUCUUCUGUAGAUGAACAAAUAGUUUAUUAGAUUUUAUUUUUGGUUUCAGCACUUUUAUUCUUAUUCUUCCUUAUAUCGACUUGGUCAUAACUUAUCGAUUUGAAUCAUUGAUGCAUGUUAAAAUCAAUUUUUUUUUAUAUAUUUAUGAUGUUUUUAUAUGAUUUUCAUUUUUUUUAAAUAUUUGGAACAGGCAAGACCGACAGUCUUCUUCUUAUCUUUGGGAGCAAUAUUUGGCUGUUUUUUUCCAUUCAAGAACUUUAUCGUACCAUUACAGUACCGUACCUUGAUGAAAUCAGGAAGUUUGUUUUUCCUGGUGGUAGCUGAGUAUACCAAACCGAACCAUUUUUCAUUUUCUUUGUUUACCAUAACGUUUUCUUUUUUGAUUGUUUUUCGUUUCAUGGUCAUGUUAUUCAUUCAAGAACUUUUUUGUAUCGCUGGAUACAGUACCUUGACGAAUCAGGAAUGUCUCUAUUCCUGGCGGUAGCUUGGUUUACCAGACCAGACCAUUGAUAUUUAUUAAUUUAUUUUUUUUUCAUUUCUGGACCCAAGGUAUUCAUUAUUGUUUGAUGGCUUAUUUAUUAUUCAUUCAAGCACUAUGUGUAUCAAUGGAUACAGUACCUUGAUGAAUCAGGAAUGCUGCAUUCCUGGUGGUAGCUUGGUUUACCAGACCGCGCCAUUUUCGUUUUUUAUCGAUUCUUCGUUUCUUCGCGUUUUUUUUAUCAUUUCGUGGCAUAUUUAUUUCAUUUAUUAUUUAUUAUUCAUUCAAGAACUUUUUAGUAUCGUUAGAUACAGUACCUUGAUGAAUCAGGAAUGCUGUAUUCCUGGUUGUAGCUAGGUUUACCAAACCAUGCCAUUUUCGUUUUUCCGUUUUCUUUAGCAUAGUUUUUUUCAUAUUUCAUGUUUUAUAUUUCUUGGCAUAUUUAUUAAGCAUAUUAUUUAUUAUUCAUUCAAGAACUUGUUAGUAUCGUAAGAUACAGUACCUUGAUGAAUCAGGAAUAUUGUCAUUCCUGGUGGUAGCUUGGUUUACCAAACCUCUGAUACUCUGUACUUUGGCAAUGUGGGGAAAACAAAACUGUCCAAUUCCAUACUUUUCAUUUUCAAACAUCUCGUUUAAUAUAUUCUGCACAUUCAUUCUGGUGUGGCCAACACCUUGUCCAAUCAUUCAUUCUUGCAAACAAACAUAGGUAAAUAGAUAAAACUAUUGCCUGAUUUUUAGCUUUCCAAAUGGUACAGAAUUUGACGACUCGUCGACAAUGUAAUUUCAAUUAUAUGCCAUAUUUUUUUUUUUUAGUUUCCGAUGCCAGAUUUAGUCUUUUUUGUAUAUUUUUAUCUCUAUCUUUCUUUAUCCAAUGGAUAUGGUGCACCUUGGUCCGAAUAAUGUUCAUAUGAAUUUGUAUUAAUUGUAUUAAUGGUUCUGUAUCAGCCUCUGGUUGUAUGUAUUUGUCCCUUUAUUCGUUGUUUUUUUUUUUAUUAUUAUUUUAUUUUAUUUUUUUGACUUGUCGUAUUCAAAUUAGAAGUAUUCAGCCCAUUAUCGACCUGCUGGAAUUUCGUUACGAUUUUUUUUUUAUAAUAGGGGUAAUUAAUUCAUUUUCGUUAAAAAAUUUCCCAUGGUAUAAACAUGCAUCAAUGUUCAUUAUUUCAUUCAUGUCUUUCUUGAAGAUUUUGGUAGUGUCUUUGUCAUUACUAUGUGAUCUAUUACCUAGGAGACUCGCUAUUAUGUUAUUAAGCGAUACUUUGCUUUAUCAUUUUUGUUAAAAAUAGAAUCUGCAAAUUGAUAGCGCGCUAAAAGCAGCAAUACGAUCGACCGGUGUACUCAUUCUCAAAAAAUACAUGUAUUACUCGUUUUCGUAUAUCUUAAACGUUUUAUUUUAUGUUAUUAUUCCUUAUUUUCAUGAUUUCCAUGUUGAUUGUGAGGAAAUUUCACAUGAUUUUCAUUUUAAACAACCUUUUAUAUUUUUUUUUUGAUUUUCAUUUAGUUCAAUCAGAUGUAUUUUUACCUAUAUAUUACACAAACUUAAAAAUUCAAUGAAUCAAUGAUGAGGAAAAAAAACAAAAUGCGAAUCUAUUCUUGUUUGUUUUUACCACAUGUUUCUUCCCUAGGCAAAUUAAAAUCCAUUAUGUUUAUUGCAAACACACUUCUUCACUCCUUCUCUUGCACACGAAGGCAUUGACACCCAAAAAUUCUACAGCAACCGUAAUUGCUGCGACAACAUUAAGUGGCUUGUGACGAUAGAAAAUGUGCAUCUGCAAGCAAAACGAAAUAGUUGUCGCGUCUCUUUCCUUAUCCGUGAUAGCCGAAAGAAGAGAAAACAAAUUUUAGCUUCAUUCCGUUUUCGACUUUCAGUGCUAUAGGAUACCGGAGAAAAGAACAUGGGAUAUCACAAUGUCACAUCGUCUUUAUUUGGGACAUGUAACUUACAGAAUGCUCGGAAGUUAACCAAGUCCUGCGAUGGGAUCCAGGCGUGCUCCGUGCAGUGGACCAUCACCAGGAUAGAGAAAUCCAUCUCUACCCGUACAACAAGGCCGAGGAUUCAGAGUGCAAGGGAAAAAACAUAUACAUAGAAAUUUAUGUAAAAUAAAUUUCAAUCAUUCCAAUCAAUUUCUAAGUGCUUUGAUUGUGUUUAGUUAUCAUUUUUUUUAAUUUUAGAUACGAUUAAACGUAAGUGUGUUCAAUGGUAGUGUCAGUAAGGGAACGAAAAAGGAAAAAAAUAAACGGUAAGUUUUUUUCUUCCUUAUUAUUACUUUUAAGUGUGGUGUUCCUUUAAAAUUUCAUAAAUGUUGAAACCAAGUUACUUUAUCUUCGCUAGAUAUUUUUUUAAGUGUUAAACAUUAUUUCAGAUUCAAAAUUGGGACGUUUCGAACCAUUCAGUAUGAUUCCCCAUAUCUUAUCUUUUGUCAUGAAAAAUUACGUUGCCUGACAAACUAUUGAAUAUUGCUUCUCAUAUUUUUCAAAUAAUCAAUGUGCUUCUUUUGCUUCCAAUAUGCGUUUCUAGCGAAAGACCGUGAAGUUCUUUCAAGAUUGUGUCACUAUUUUCUGACACCUAAGCAUUCUCUCUGAAUUGGCAAAAUGGAAAAAAAAACUAUUUAAUAUGACAUAACAUGUCCAAAUGUGGUAAAGUUAUUAUUUUUCUGAAUGCAAUAACUGAAUUUGAAAUACCUAAAAUAUUCCUCAAGAUGUCAUACUGUUAAACAAAUCACAAAAAUUUCAAAUCGGAUUAUUUCGAUCCAAUCAUAAUAGUUUCCCAACGUUUUUCUUCCGUAUGGACAUUUCGUUACCUGACAGAAAGUUAAUUAAAUGCUCUUCUAAUUAAAGUACAUAUUUCAACAUCAAUAUUUAAAUUAAUUUGUUUCAUUUUUCAAAACAUUUUAAACUUGGCAUAAAUUUGCAUAUUAUUCCUACAUUAUUGUUAUUAUAACAUUUUUCCAAAUUUGUUUCUGCUGUAAAUUUAGCUAAAAAUUCACAUAUCUGUUUUUUUUAUUCAUUUUUUUAUUGCACUCGGAAAGUACAAACGUUUCAAUUUUCGUUUUGUUUUAAAUGAAGUUGUUUGUUGUGCAAUUUGACAGGAAAUUUAUUGGCAUAAAACUCAUCGAGAUACAAAGAAGUCUGCAAUUCAUCUGGAAAUCUGUUGAUUUGUGGAAUGCAGUAGGAAGCCAAUUGCCUUGCGAAGUUUUAUGGAACUGCAGUAUAAUUUCCAGUUGCAAAAAUAAAUUUCAACUGUUUAAUAAUGUUUUAAUUUUUAAAUAAUGUUUUAAUUUUUUUCAUUUGCCAAAAUCUCUAUUUAUUAUUGCUUUGAAUUUCAUGGUUGCAGAUUUCUUUAAAGGAAUUUACAGCAUAAAUAAAACAUGAAAGAUGGCUAAAAAGCAUACAUAUGAAAAAUGGAAUGAAUUAUCACUCACCAAUUAUUUUUCAUUGCUUACAUUAUUUUCCUCACUCCUUUUGCGUUAAGUAACCUUGAAUUCACUGAAAAAAAGUUAAUUAUGGUAAUUUACGCUUUUCUCAUUUUGAACACACACAGAAAUGUCUAAUUCGAACAAAUAACACGAAUAUCUUUUUGAUUCUUUAGUUUGUUCUUGAUCACCGAUUAUAAUUUUUUUUUCGAUUUAUCAAAUGUUCAAAUGUUCAAAUUCUUCACUGGAACACGCUUUUCGAUUUUUUAGUUUUUUAAUAUACAUACAGUACAUUUGCACACAAAAAAUAGUUAAAAACAACGUGUAGAAGUUAACCGAAUGUUAGUAAAUUAUUCAAAAGUUUGCUGUUGUCCACUUUAAGAGUUCGUCUAAUUUCAACUUUAACAGAUUUGAUCAUUUUGAUUAUUUGUUCGCACUACUUUUUUAUUUGCAUUCACUACCAAGCUUCCUCAUUUGCACAGUUUUGCACACCAAUAAAAGUUCAAACCACCUUGAAAAGCCUAAAGAGAGUUUUGAAAGAGAUUAUUCACUUCUAACGUCUUUUAAUUAUUUGCACUUCUGUUUUAUUCGCGCCUAAACAGUUCCUUGAUUUGCACAGUUUUGCACCAGUCAAAAAUGACGCACCAAAUUUCAUCUAAAACUGAAAUUCUUUACCGCUGUCACCAUCUGUAACGGGACCCCCCCGGAUCACUUUCCAAAAUUGCAACCGAACGCGUUUACUUAAAGAUAUGUCAUCAUCUAUAAAAAUUCUCCAACACUUCUUAAAACUACACUACUUUAUUUUCCGAAUAUAAAUAUUUUAAUUUCCACAGUGCACUGAAUUAGAAAUGAACAUCUACAAA